UAUGCCACAGGGCCACUGAUCAUUACAGAUCAGUAUAGAUCUUGUUUUGUUGAGGCUAAUGUUAAAGUAAGGCUAGACUAAUUUUAUCAAGCAAGCUACUAAGCUACCACAAUAGUAUGCAUGUUUUUUCUGGAUAGCAAACCACUUGCUAAUAUAUAGCUAGACGCGAGCUACACAUUUAUAACCGCAAAUCCACCCUCACUGUAUGGCACCGUACGAUUGCGUGAUGUUCCAACUUGAAAUUAAUAUUGAAAUCAUCAUUGUGCCACAUUUCCAUUUUUAAUUACAGGACUUAAUAUUAUCUGAUUCCAACUGUAUUUUAGUUGUUGCUACGAGACGCAAACAUUACUGUGUAGCUAGCAGAGUUUUAGCGAACUACUCUCUGGCCACUAGAAAGCAAGCUACACAUUAUCUACAAAUGGCAACAAGAAUUCACUUUGAUUGUCGUCUUAGUUGUCAUUUAGCUAAUUGUCUCUCUCAAAAACAGUUUGGAAAAUUGAGCAAAACUGUCACAACUUACCUUUAUCUUGCUGAAUUAAACAAUGAUUGUCCACAGCAGUUUCGCUGCCGCUUUUCUCCCACGUGUUUUAAACAAAUGGAAACCAUCUCCAACCAACAAUGCCAUUGCAUGUUAUUUACCAUGAUAUACCGAAUACCGUCACAUGCCUAGUAUGAAUAGCACUCAACCUUAAUUAAAAAUAUUUUGUGACCAGGUAUAUCAACCCUCAAAUUCCCCAGUACAUCUCAUCUAUCCCGUGGUACAUUGACCCCUCAAAGAGACCCACCCUCAAACAUCAGAGACCUCAGGAAGAGAAACAGAAACAAUUUACACCCAUUGGAGUGGUUCAAAAGAUGUGUACAAGAGAAAUCAAUCAGCAUGAUAACACAUAUGAAGAAGGACUGCACUGAGAGACCCAGAAAAGUUGGAGCGAAGUUUUUAGGCACAGGCAUUGCCCCAGAUGAGCACCAACAGAUUCAGCUUUCAAUGGAUUAUAAUGCAAAGAGAGACCACUGGAACGGGUAUGACCCUGAUGAGCACAUGCGCAUUGUAGAGGAAUAUGCUAAAGUUGACCUGGUAAAAGACGUUGUUGUUUAAAAAAAAAUAAUAAUAAUUGUAUGUGUUUUGUGUAUAAUAUUUUUUUAUUGUGAUCGGCCAUUGGGGUUAAUCUCACAAAAAAUGUUAGGGUCAUAUUUUAACCCGAAAUUGAAAAGAAAAAAUAAUUUUUUAUUUAAAAUAGUCUAUUUUCUGAAUUAUCUGCUAAUCUGCCCGCAUCCAAAAACACAUUUUGGAAAAACUGGAAUAUCUAAAAAGUAAGAGUCGAAGGAACAACAUACGAAUUGUUGGAAUUCCUGAGCAUGAAGAGGGCAGAGAUAUGGUGAAAUUCCUGGACGAGCUCUUCCCGAGUCUGCUCGACAUAACAGGCCAUAAACUGGAAAUCAAGCGAGCUCACAGAGUCCCGGCUCGCAGAUCUGCUGAGGGAGACAGGCCCCGAUCAAUUCUGGCCAAAUUUCUGAGAUCAUCCGGUAAAGAUCACGUGUUGCACCAGGCGAGGAGCAAAGGAAAGCUUUCUUGGAAGAAUAACAAUAUUUUCUUGUUCCCGGAUUUUGCGAAUUCGACAAGAGAGAAACGCGAUCAGUUCAAGGAAUGUAAGAAACUCUUACAUCAACAGAAGAUCGCUUUUGCACUGAUGUUUCCGGCCAAAAUGAGAAUAGACACCAAGGAUGGCAGCGAAGUAUUUUUAUGCUCCAAAAAGGCACUGGCCUACAUAGAAACUAUCGGCGAGUAAAAUCAUUGGGUGUUUCUUAUGUGAGUGGACUGACAGGACAGCUGGGCGCCAUUUUUGUUUCUUUUUGCAUUGCUCUGCCUAGCGGCUGGAGUUUGUUUUGUGGCAUGAUUCCUUUGAGAAACUUUUGCAUUGACGGAAGAUCACUUUUACUCUGAAAUUCCCGGCCAGAUUGAGAAUGGACAAUAUGGAUUACCGCACAAUAUCUACAUGCUCACAUAAAGGUUGUCCUUUAUAAAGUUGACGGACUGAGUAAGUCAUGGUGUUUUAUUUUCUACGCGGCCUCCGAGUAAAUUUGACUCUUAAUCAUCCAAGGAACCAGGAUGUCUAUUUUGUUUCUUUUUGUGCUGGUUCCACCUACCGGCUGGAGCUUGUUUUGUGGAAUAACAUGGGACAGUUAUGGAUGAAUCUGUUCGUUCUUUGUGCUUGCGCCUCCUGAUGGCUGGAGUUUGUUUUUGUGGAAUAUUUUAAGGUACAUUAGAAUGAUUACAUCAUCUGCUGCACUCAUAAUAGCCAGCUCACUGAACACUUGUCUGUCUGUCCGAGGAAACUGAACGGCUUUAUAUCAGCUGGAAGUUGUUUUGUGGAGGAACACACCUUCGAGACAGUUCUGUGAAUGAAUGUGUUUAUUCUGCCUGUUGGCUGGGGUCUGUUUUACAAAGUAUUUUCUGAUAUGUAAUUUUGCCUCUCAAAAUUUGUGCAGAGGCACUGGACUUGAGAAAUCCGAUGGCAAAGUUGUCGCGGGGGCUCUUGUAGGCGUACAUAGACCUUUUGAGUUUAGAGGGAUUGACUGUCGUGUGCUGGGUUAAUGUGCACAUUUUUCAUUUUUCUGUUUGUUUUGUUCGGGGGGAAGUUCGGGGUUUUAUUGUUGCACUAAUGGGGGAGUCUGGGGGACGGAGCUUUAACCUCAAUCAAGAGAUUAUGGGAGAAAGAUUUUAAUUUGUUAUUGGAGGAUUGAGUGUAGGCUGGGAUUCUAAAAAACAUCAAGACUGCAUCUAGAGACGCAAGGGUGCAACUUAUACAAUUCAAGAUUCUACAGAGAUUCUAUUGGACCCCCUCUAGACUGUAUAGGCUUGGUCUUAAAGACACACCCACCUGCUGGCAUUGCCAAACGGAGGAUGGAGACAUGGCCCAUGUUUUUUGGUGGUGCGCUGAGAUUCAGGAAUUUUGGUUGAAGGUACAGAGUUUUGUAUGUGAUGUGUUGGGCAUUCAGAUUUCGUUUUGCCCCAGAUUCUGUGUCUUGGGUAAUGGGGCGGUCAUCAACGUAGGCAAUAAAUACAUAAAAGAUUGGGUCCUCACCAGUGUGAUGAUAGGCAGGCAGAUUGUUUUAAGGGGUUGGAAGUCGGUGGGAGCACCCUCAAUUCGGGAGUGGUGCAAGGACAUGGGAAGUGUGGCAGCCUUCGAAGAGGUAAUAUGUAGAAGGCUGGGGAUAUGGGAUUCUUUUAAUGGGAAAUGGGGUAAAUAUUUUAUGUUUUUGGGGGGCUCUCGGAGUAGGUCUGUGGAGAGAGGAAUAUAAAGUUGUAUGUUUAUUAUAUGUGUAUGUAUAUAUGUGUAUGAAAAUGUGUAUGUAUAUGUAUGUAUGCAUAUAUACGUAUAUGGGUGUGUAUGUGUGUAUACACACACACACACACACACACGCGCACAUUAUAUAUAUAU